UAUUAGGUUGGUGCAAAAAUAAUUGCGGUUUUUACCAUUGAGGGUAAUGGCAAAAACCGCAAUUACUUUUGCACCAAUCUAAUA
rnacentral:pre_miRNA from 1 species